AAGAAAAAAAAUUAAGACUUAGCCUUGUGAAUGAAAAUGACAAUAAUCUGGAUAUGCUCAGUUGUAAAGGAAUUUUGAAUGCCACAUUAUGACCUUGGACAAGAAGAUAAAUACCAAUAUCAUAAAAAUUCAGGAUAUGUCUCAAACUGGUGUAAAAAGAAUGGGAGAGGAGGAGACAAGGAUAUCAACGAUGCCGCAUAACUCAAAGCAGAUCAGUAAUAUGCUUGGAAUAAAAAUGAAAACAACUGGCUGAACAGAAAACAUUUACAGUGAAAUAAAAUGAAAUAAUUUGCCAUGGAUUAAAACAAUACAAUAGCAGUGCAAUAAAAAUAUAUCACGUGUUUCUGUUUGUUUUUUUUGUGUGACUCUUUUACGUACUGUACAUGCACCCUAAUUUAGAAAAGAUAUGGUAAAGCUCACAAAGAUAACUUAAAAGCUUUGUAAUUGUGAUCACCUAUUGUCUUUCUGUACAUUUUGGAUUCCAAUUAUUCUUAUGCAGCUAAAUAAUAAUGUUGUAUCCAUCCAUAAUUCAGUUUUAUUAGUGUACCAUCACAAAAUUGAAUAACUUUCAUUUCCUUAGGCGGAUUUUUUGCUAGUAUUCCUUAAUAGAAAGAAUUUUUCUCCUGCUAGUGAUUUUUCUAAGUAGGUAUUUUUUUCCUGGUUAAAAUAUUUUAGGCGGAAUUUUUUCCGGCUAAGAAUUUUCCUAAGGCGGAAUUUUCUCCUGCUAGUGCUUUCCUUAAGCUGAAUUUUUUCCUGGUUAAAUUUUCCUAGGCGGAUUUUUUUCCCUCUACCCUAACUGUUUUCCUCCUAAGAAAAUUUGCAUAUUUCGCAGCGUAUUCCUGCUUAUAGGAGGAAUCUGUGAUAUGUAAACCUGAAAUGCCUUAGACGGAUUACGCCUAGUAGCUAGGAGGAAUAUCUGCUUUUUUCAGGGCGAAACUUUUCGUAUUGAGGCACUUGUUAUCUAUUUUAUAUGUGAUCUAUUUUAUUAUACCAAAAAACCUAAUAACUACAAUAAAAAAUACAUACAGAGUCAAAAGAAAAACUUGCAAACAAUAUUUCUGUUACUUCAAAGUGAACUUGUUUAAAUGAAUAGUCUGGUAUCAUUAAUUUCUGGGGUGACUAUUUUUUUCUAUAACCCUGAGUGAGAUGUGAUAUCUAUAUUUAUCAUAAACUUAUUAAUGAAAUACUGAGAAAUAUUGAUGCAAAUUUAUUUUUCAAUACAUUGAAACAUAUUUUCUGUAUUUCCACUGGUGUCAACCUUGCCAGACUUUUCUCCUAAAUUCAGCCAAUACAUAAAUGUUAAGGGAGAGUUUUUUUUCAAUUGUAAUGUCAAAAAAGAGAAAAAUGUAUAAAUAAACAGAAAAUUCAAGUUUUUUCUAUUAAUACAGGAUUUAUUUCUAUCUUGCAGUAUGAAAAUUAAAUUAUUUCACUUUUGGUUAUCAUGGUGUGGUUAUUGCCACUCAUGAAAAAAAUUGUAUAUCCUCUAUUUUAAUUAUGAAACUUAAGAUUAAUUCAAGUGAAACAAUAUAAUUAUGCAAUGAGAACUUUUGUUUCCCUUUGGUCAUGUACAAUAAUUUCAUAUCCUGGCAGUGUAUUGUGGAAUAAUAAGAGCAUAAAGGAAGAUCAUGUUUAAUUUAGUUUGUUUGGUGUCAGUUUUUAAGUCACAUAUCAACACAGUGGUUGUCAUAUGGCAACUUUUCAGCGUAACUCUGGCCGAGGAAGACCUCAGAUGCCCUUAUGUACAUAUUUCAAGCCUUAGACAACAUGACCCUUACCCCUAAUUUGACCUUUCAAAGUAAGUAAUCUUAACUACUUGACAUACUUAUCAUAAUACAAUAUGUAAUUAUGUUAAAUAAGACAAGUCAAAUAUAAUGUAUUUCUUAUAAGUAUACAUAAUAAUUCUAUGAUGUUAU